rnacentral:tRNA from 1 species
GGUUGAGGCUCAGUGGUAGAUUACUUACCUCUCAUGCAUGAAGUCCUGGGUUCGAGCCUCAGCACCA